UACGUAGGUGGCAAGCGUUGUCCGGAUUUACUGGGCGUAAAGAGCGCGCAGGCGGUCGUUCAAGUCGAGUGUGAAAGCCCCGGCUCAACUGGGGAGGGUCACUCGAUACUGAUCGACUCGAAGGCAGAAGAGGGAAGCGGAAUUCCCGGUGUAGUGGUGAAAUGCGUAGAUAUCGGGAGGAACACCAGUGGCGAAGGCGGCUUUCUGGUCUGCUCUUGACGCUGAGGCGCGAAAGCUAGGGUAGCAAACGGG
rnacentral:rRNA from 1 species